rnacentral:rRNA from 1 species
AAGUCGAGGGGCAGCGCGGUAGCAAUACUGGCGGCGACCGGCAAACGGGUGCGGAACACGUACGCAACCUUCCUCUAAGCGGGAGAUAGCCCGGAGAAAUCCGGAUUAAUACCCCAUAGGAUUGUGGAUUGGCAUCAAUCAGCAAUUAAAGAUUUAUCACUUAGAGAUGGGCGUGCGUCUGAUUAGGUAGUUGGUGAGGUAACGGCUCACCAAGCCGACGAUCAGUAACUGGCGUGAGAGCGCGACCAGUCACACGGGCACUGAGACACGGGCCCGACCCCUACGGGAGGCAGCAGUAAGGAAUAUUGGUCAAUGGACGGAAGUCUGAACCAGCCAUGCCGCGUGGAGGAUGAAGGUCCUCUGGAUUGUAAACUUCUUUUAUCUGGGAAGAAAUGCUUUUUUUCUAAAGAGCUUGACGGUACCAGAUGAAUAAGCACCGGCUAACUCCGUGCCAGCAGCCGCGGUAAUACGGAGGGUGCAAGCGUUAUCCGGAUUCACUGGGUUUAAAGGGUGCGUAGGCGGAUUAGAAAGUCCGUUGUGAAAUCUCUGAGCUUAACUCGGAAAUUGCGGUGGAUACUAUUAGUCUUGAAUACUGUGGAGGUUAGCGGAAUAUGUCAUGUAGCGGUGAAAUGCAUAGAUAUGACAUAGAACACCAAUUGCGAAGGCAGCUGGCUACACAGAUAUUGACGCUGAGGCACGAAAGCGUGGGGAUCAAACAGGAUUAGAUACCCUGGUAGUCCACGCCCUAAACGAU